GAAAUGCGAUACGUAAUGCGAAUUGCAGAAUUCAGCGAGUCAUCGAAUCUUUGAACGCACAUUGCGCCCGCCAGCAUUCUGGCGGGCAUGCCUGUCCGAGCGUCAUUU
rnacentral:rRNA from 1 species